GAUGAACGCUGGCGGCGUGCCUAAUACAUGCAAGUCGAGCGAACAGACGAGGAGCUUGCUCCUCUGACGUUAGCGGCGGACGGGUGAGUAACACGUGGAUAACCUACCUAUAGGACUGGGAUAACUUCGGGAAACCGGAGCUAAUACCGGAUAAUAUAUUGAACCGCAUGGUUCAAUAGUGAAAGACGGUUUUGCUGUCACUUAUAGAUGGAUCCGCGCCGCAUUAGCUAGUUGGUAAGGUAACGGCUUACCAAGGCAACGAUGCGUAGCCGACCUGAGAGGGUGAUCGGCGACCCUGGAACUGAGACACGGUCCAGACUCCUACGGGAGGCAGCAGUAGGGAAUCUUCCGCAAUGGGCGAAAGCCUGACGGAGCAACGCCGCGUGAGUGAUGAAGGUCUUCGGAUCGUAAAACUCUGUUAUUAGGGAAGAACAAAUGUGUAAGUAACUAUGCACGUCUUGACGGUACCUAAUCAGAAAGCCACGGCUAACUACGUG
rnacentral:rRNA from 1 species